rnacentral:rRNA from 1 species
GACGAACGCUGGCGGCGUGCUUAACACAUGCAAGUCGAACGGAAAGGCCCUGCUUUUGUGGGGUGCUCGAGUGGCGAACGGGUGAGUAACACGUGAGUAACCUGCCUUUGACUUUGGGAUAACUUCAGGAAACUGGGGCUAAUACCGGAUAGGAGCUCCUGCUGCAUGGUGGGGGUUGGAAAGUUUCGGCUGUUGGGGAUGGACUCGCGGCUUAUCAGCUUGUUGGUGGGGUAGUGGCUUACCAAGGCUUUGACGGGUAGCCGGCCUGAGAGGGUGACCGGCCACAAUGGGACUGAGGUACGGACCAGACUCCUACGGGAGGCAGCAGUGGGGAGUAUUGCACAGUGGGCGGAAGCGUGAUGCGGAAACGCCGCGUGCGGGAUGACGGCCUUCGGGUUGUAAACCGCUUUCGCCUGUGACGAAGCGUGAGUGACGGUAAUGGGUGAAGAAGCACCGGCUAACUACGUG